GGCCACCGAACACCAGUGCAGUAGCCAGGAUGGGCCUGUGGCUCUGGCUGCAGCCUCCAGGGACACCAGCUGGAGAGAAGGAAGCCACGCAUGGAGAGCGGCCAGGCUCAAAAUAUCUUAAAGAAAAUGGAACUCGGAGUCAGUCAUCUGUUCUCAACGUGGUCAUCUCAAAAAUAUGAGCACACGGAAGUUUUCUUCCUUCUUGUCAGUUUUGAGUCCAAUAUCAAUACUGUUGUCCUGUGAAAGAUUUUAAGAUUUAAAUGUUUUUUCAUGUAAUUUCCUGAUGUCUUGAUUGUUGCUUCUAUUUUGUUCAUCAAAACCAAACAGAGUGGAGGUUGCUCUGGGGCUGGAUGGAUGGCCAGUCAUUAAAAUCAAUGCCUUAUUAGUCUGCCUUA
ensembl:lncRNA FNDC1-AS1 FNDC1 antisense RNA 1